rnacentral:rRNA from 1 species
ACGAACGCUGGCGGCGUGCUUAACACAUGCAAGUCGAACGGAAAGGCCCUGCUUGCAGGGUGCUCGAGUGGCGAACGGGUGAGUAACACGUGGGUGAUCUGCCCCUUACUUUGGGAUAAGCCUGGGAAACUGGGUCUAAUACUGGAUAGGACCAUGCUGUAGGUGGUGUGGUGGAAAGAUUAGUUUCGGUAAGGGAUGAGCUCGCGGCCUAUCAGCUUGUUGGUGGGGUAAUGGCCUACCAAGGCGUCGACGGGUAGCCGGCCUGAGUGGGUGGACGGCCACAUUGGGACUGCGAUACGGCCCAGACUCCUACGGUAGGCAGCAGUGGGGAAUAUUGCACAAUGGGCGCACGCCUGAUGCAGCGACGCCGCGUGGGGGGUGACGGCCUUCGGGUUGUAAACUCCUUUCAGCCAUGACGAAGCCCUUGUGGUGACGGUAGUGGUAGAAGAAGCACCGGCUAACUACGUG